UCCCUAGUGGGCCAGUGGUUAGGACUCUGCACUUUUAGUGCAGGGGCACGGGUUCGAUCCCUGGUCAGAGAA
rnacentral:tRNA from 1 species